AAAAAAAAAAAUGGUUAAGAUGAUGUUACUGGAAUGGAACUGCAUCCUUGCAAAAUCCAUAUAGUAAAGAUUAACCCCCAUGUAUUGAAAACAGGGUCUUUAAAUAGGUCAUCAAGGUUAAAUGAGGUCAUGACUAGGACCCUAAUCCAGUAGAACUGGUAUCUUUAAGAAAGAGGCACCAAAGCCCUCUCUCUAUAUUUGCAAAGAGGAAAGGUCAUAUGAGGACACAGAAAGAAGGCGGCCAACUGUGAGCCAAGAAAGGAGGCCUGACCAGAAACUGACCGUGCCUGCACCUUAAACUUGGACUUUUAGCCUCUGGGACUGUGAGAGAAUUAGUUUCUGCUGUUUAAGCCACCAGUUUUGAUGUUUUGUUGUAAAUGGUAAAUUAUAUGUUAUAUGUAUUUUAUCACAAUUUUAUUUUAUUUUAUUUUAUUUUAUUUAUCUUAUGGCCCAGGCUAGGGGUCUAAUCAGAGUUACAGCUGUCGGCCUAUGCCACAACCACAGCAAUGCCAGAUCCAAGCCACAUCUUCAACCUACACAGCAGCUUGCGACAACGAUGGAUCCUUUACCCACUAAUCAAGGCCAGCGAUCAAACCUAUAGCCUCACAGAGACAAUGUCAGGUUCUUAACCCACUGAGCCACAAUGGGAACUCAUACCACAAUUUUUUAAAAAGUCUAGUUUGACUUGGUUUUCUAUUAUGUAUAACCCAAAGACUCCUCACUAAUAUGCAACUGAUUUAAUUUCAUCCAUUGCAUAAAAAAUCCUACGUGGCCUCUUGUGUUAAUUGGCACAAUACUUUCUAAAUUGUCAGUGAGGUUUUGUUACUUUCUGUGUAUGGGCAUCCCUGGAAAAAGCCACCACACUGGCUGGCCUUCCAAUUUGGCUCAAGAUUUCUUGGGGAAAGAAAUAAUCCCAGGAUGCUCAAAAAACAGAUCCCAUAGCUUCAUUUGUGAAAAUCCUGGGUGUCAGGCCUCAGAUCCUUGAUUCCUGUUCCCAGGAAACCUUCCCAGGAAGACGUCGCCCGAGGCAGCUUUGAAUAAUGAGUUUUCCUUCUCAGAGCCUUCCUAUUCCAUUUCCAGAUGUUCCUAUUUGGAAAUCUUCCCUUAUUUUGUCUCUUGAAGUGCCAGCACUCAGAAAGGGCCCAGCCCCUCUGACAGCCGGUAGGCUUUCUGCUCAAGGGAUUUCACAGCAUCAGGACUCACACCCCAGCCUAUUAGAUGGCAGAAAUCCUUUCAAGGCAAGUUGGGGCUUAUUUGUAACUUAUCUGAGAAACACAUCACAGUGUGUCUUUGUAGCCAGGGAUCCUCAAGCGAGAAAGUAACAGAUGAAAUAACUUAUUAGUCCUUUUCCUUCCCAAGAGUCUCUAAAGCAUGAAAAACUCCACUAUACCUGCUCCUCCGAGCUUUUGCUGUAGAGAUUUCCCAAGAGCCUCCCAGUGCUGCCAGUGUCAGCACACCUGUCUGAGGCAGACGUGCACCAGCAACGGCAAAAUAAUGGAUUCCAUUUACUGAGCACGUACUAUGUGCCAGACACGGUACAAAGUGUUGUACCUGGGUUAUUUCAUGUAUGCCUUAUAGGAACAUGUGAAGUAAACCUAUCAACCUCGUUUUACAGAUGAAGAAACACGGCCUCGUAAAGUACAAGCAGCUCACUCGGAUUUAUUGAUCUUGUCAGUUGGCAGAGGCAGGGCUACCAGACUCAGGUCCGGCUGCUUGCCGCUCGGAAAUCAGUACCUGAGAAAGAGGCAAAUGUUGGUCAAAAGGAAGGUUGCUUUUCAUCAGAAUGCUGGCAGUCUGGGGAGAGGGUGGACUCACUGUCCACCCAAAACCAUCUCCUAAGAUUUAGCUUGACCGUGAAAGUUUUUAAAGGGAAAAAGGAAAGUCAUCUCUGCCAAUCAUUGAUGUAGCGGGCAGCGUCGCCAUCCCCCACUGCCCACAGGCUUCUGAACUCUCUCCUUAGAUGCAAUCUUGUUCAGUUUGUUCGUGAGAUUACUGAAGGGGAAGCUAGGAAAGUGGUCUGUCAUCUGUUAAUUACUUAUUCUUCAGUUCUACUUCUUUGAUCUACAGAAAGAACCAAUAGAUUAGGCAAGGUAUUAUGGGAUCGAAAGAUUUGAAAGGUGUGAGUGGGUCAGAAAUGAGUAGGGCAUGGGGGCUUCUGAUUAAAAUGUAAGCAAUUUGGGAGUUCCUGUGGUAGCUUAGCAGGUUGAGAACCCAACAUAAUGUCCCUGAGGAUGUGGGUUCGAUUCCUGGCCUCGCUUGGUGGGUUAAAGAUACGGUGUUGCCCCAAGCUGUGGUGUAGGUCACAGAUGCAGAUCUGGCAUUGCUGUGGCUGUGGCUGUGGCAGCUGCAGCUCCAAUCUGACCCUGGGAACUUCCAUAGGCCACAGGAAUGGCUGUAAGAAAAAAGGAGAGGAGUUCCCGUCGUGGUGCCGUGGUUAACGAAUCUGACUAGGAACCAUGAGGUUGCAGGUUCGGUCCCUGCACUUGCUCAGUGGGUUAACGAUCCAGCGUUGCCGUGAGCUGUGGUGUAGGUUGCAGAUGCGGCUCGGAUNAAAUAGCAAAAAGACAAAAAAAAAAAAAAAGAGAGAGAGAGACACACACACACAAAAUAUAAGCAGUUUGGCUCCAUGAGAGGUAAAAAAUGUAUUAGUAAAAACUGUCUUAGUCUGCUCGAUCUGCUGUAACAAAAUUCCAUGACAUGUGUGGCUCAAGCAGCGGGGACACCUCUGCCAUCACAAACACCUCUGGAGGUUCAAGGUCCACCCGGCAUAUGCUGUGUGUGAGCUGCAAACGUAGUUUCCAUAGAAUGACACAGUGACGGCUGACUGUGUAACUGACACUGUGUUGUGCAUCCCCCAACACGUACAUGUGCAUGCUCACACACACUCACACGUAAACCACCCAGAGUGAGGAGACCCUUCCUGCCCAUGUUCACGGGAAAUUGACCAUAUCACAGUUACUGAUCCUGAUAACUAAGAUUUUGUUGCGAUUUAAUCCUGAUAUGGGGUUAUCUGUAAUGUCAAUAAUGACCUUAUCCAAGUUGGUUACAAGUUAUUGCUAUAUGGUAUGUAUUAAUGAAUACAUAUAUGUACGUAUGAACCGUGUAUACUAUGCAUUCUAUUUGUGAACGCAACAUAAUUUCUUUAUUCCAAAGUGGGACUUAAAAUAUUUCGCCAGUACUGUAAAGAGAACUGAGUCUUUUAUGCCUGCUCUGUGUUCUUACUCUUUUACCUUUCACAGAUGUUCUUUUGGCUUUCUUGCAGUUCUUGUUCUACAUUCUUCUGGGCUAGAAAUUCUUAAUAUCUUAAUUCUGAAAUUCUAGUUCUACCUGCAAUCCGUUUUAAUCUAUGAAAUGGUCAAUACUCAAAAUUCAACUAAAUCAAGUAUUGAUUACUUGGUUGAAAAAAUAAAAGUUAGUGAUAAUAUAGCUUUGCUUAUAUUGACAAGAAAGAGGUUUCCCGCUAAGGGCAGUUUUCCUACAAAGAGCUGCCUACAAGCUCCCCUUCCCCCACCCCAUCAGAUAUCAUUUCAUUUCUGUGGGAUUAGGGCCAAAGAUCUGUCUUCUGUAACCUCUUCAUGCUGAGAGAGGGCGUCGAGGUCUUAGGGUGAAAGAUGUCAAAAUGUGUUUGAAGCAUCUCUUUUCUGAUAGCUUUCGCUGCCCACUAACAUGUAUGGGCAGAGCAAGCUGCAAUGAUUUUGCUGCCCACAAAGAUAUAGAGUAUUAUGAGCAACAGUGUUAAUCCCACUCUCUCAAGGCCAGUUCUUGGAAUUAUGCAAACCAUUGAUUCACCUGUGCUUAAGAGGGAGCCGCCUGUGUCAUGGCUACAGUCUGGUCAUCAUGCAGUUAGCAUUUUCCUUCUGGUGGCAGUUAUAGUAUCUGUAAAACAGCUCAGGAAUGUGCAUUGACACUGCAUCAGGAACUCUACUGUCCUAAUCCUUAACUGCUUGAACUUGCUCUUUUGUGACCCAGGAAGGCCUGGGAGACUUUAGCUUUAUGACAAACAAGGGGCAGGGGGCAGGGAGGGGCCUUUGUAAUUGAGGGGGUGGAGCAAGGGGUUCUGCUCAGUUCCAUCAGGAUUUGGACCCAGAUCUAUCUGUCUGCGAAACUUGCACCAUGUCCUCUAGGACAUACUGUCUCAAAUCAGAAUUUCGACUCUUAUAAGUUUGAUCUGGAUCUUCCCACGUGAUUUUGGCCAGGUCAUUCAUUCCUGAACCUGGCUGUGGUGAUCAUGAUAGUGUUUCAUCUAUUUGUAGAACAUCUAACAUGGGCUGGCCUCCAGGUGCUCUUCCUAAAUGAUCUCUAACCCUUAUACCCCUCUUGAAGCAGGUGUUUUUUUUCCUCAUUAUACAGCUAACAGAGACUGGAGCUCAGAGGAGGUAAGGGACUUGUCCAAGGUCAUAUGAUCACUAAAGAACAGAGUGAAUCUCUGCCAGAUGCCACAGCACAGGUACUCUGCACUGAGCCAUGCUGCUCUCUGCAAGAAUCCAAUCCUUCAAGGAGCAGUGCAGCUUCCCUGAGGUUGGGGGCAGCGGGGGGAGGUUACAGGCAAUAACAUCUCACAUUUUUAUAGUCAUUUACAAAGUGAUUUCCUCAACACGUGUUUGCUUAUAAGAAGCACUUCAGAGGAGUUCCCUUUGUGGCUCAGUGGUUAAUGAAUCCGACUAGGAACCAUGAGGUUUCGGGUUCAGUCCCUGGCCUUGCUUAGUGGUUUAGGGAUCC
rnacentral:lncRNA from 1 species